rnacentral:rRNA from 1 species
UCCGUAGGCGGGCGUCUAAGUCAGUGGUGAAAUCUUACAGCUCAACUGUAAAAUUGCCAUUGAUACUGGAUGUCUUGAAUUAGUGUGAAGUGGUUAGAAUGUGUAGCGUAGCGGUGAAAUGCAUAGAUAUUACACAGAAUACCAAUUGCGAAGGCAGAUCACUAACACUAUAUUGACGCUGAGGGACGAAAGCGUGGGGAGCGAACAGGAUUAGAUACCCUGGUAGUCC